GGAGUGGCCAGCACGGUCACCGGAUCUCAACCCUAUUGAGCUGUUGUGAGAGCAGCUUGACCGUAUGGUACGUAGAAGUGCCCAUCAAGCCAAUCCAACUUGCGGGAGGUGCUUCAGGAAGCAUGGGGUGAAAUCUCUUCAGAUUACUUCAAAUGUGCUUAGUCAUCAUGUCUUCUCUAUUGUUAGCAAAACAUGCUAAGGUUCCUCAUCCUCCACAACACUAUUCUCACUUAUCGCUGCAAUUUAAGGCCAGUUGCGGUAGAGAGAACUUCUGUUUCGGAGGACAUUUUUCUGUCAGCACAAACGUCAAAAAACAAAUGUCUCGACUAUUUCUGCAGAGAAACUUACAUUCAUCAAAGGUUAGUGGUCUAUUAAAUUACAGAUGCAUCUGUUUUGUUCCAUUAUUACUGACCAAUAUAAGCCUGUUUGUUGAUUUUUGUGAAAAGGUUUGGGCUAAGUUGCUGAAAUAGCUGAACCCACUAAUUUGAAGGGGUGUCACAUACUUUUGUAUAUAUAGUGUAUUAUUAGAGAGAGGGGUAGCAAGUCAUACAGAAUCUGGCCUAUUGUGAAAAGGUUUGGGCUACAUUGCAAGAUGUGCAUAAUAUGCAUUAUUUUACAUAUAGCUUAGCCUCCAUAACUGUUUUACAUAAACUAUUAAUAGGUCCUCAUUAUUAUAAAAUGGCAAUCUCAAAAUGUAGUAUAAUUACAUAAUUACCGUUCCCAUAUGACUGUAGUAAUGAGAAGAGCAAAGCAUUUUACGGAAUCUGUGCUGUGUGAUUCUACUCAUGAUCCAGAGGGAUCCAGAAAGUAGGUUUCCAAUUGAUGUCAUAAAAUGCCAUACUAUUGACCUCAUGUUUUUGUCUCUUUUUUCUUAUUGACACAAGGCAAGACAAUAACACCCACCAAACACACAAUCCCACCAUUCAACUGUAGUCCUUGUCCUUUUAGGGUACAAUAAGGCA